CAGCACUUUUCUGCCACUGCUCCCUGUUGCACUCUGCCAAGUUAGGAUACAGGGCCGAGCAGCACCAGGAGCAGACUACCAGGUGGAAGGAGGCAGGAGGAAAGAUUACUUUCAGAAGGCUGUGCAUAUCCUAAGGAAGUGAAUGCAAGACAGGCAAGUUGUUGAGUCUACGAGUUUUUCUGUGUAUUUCUGAUCUUUGUUACUGAAGGCAUCUUGUCAUCAUAAUAAAAACCUCUAGGACCAGUCCAGCCAUAACAUUGGCUCUGAAAGGCAAAGUUGGGCUCAGUGAUAUCAUUGUAAAACUAAAGGCCAAGAAUGCGACUAAAAGGACUGUGUGUGGAACAUUCUGUCCUUGGACUGAAAUUUCUUUGGAAACAUAAGCAAGAACAGAAGUAUUUUGCAAAACAUGUUUCAAGUUAGCUUUCAAAACAAGAACAGAGGCAAAAUUAGAACAAAAAGGAAGAAAAUCAACAAUGAUGUUAAAUUUUAUGUAUUUAUUUGACUAAAGUUAUGGUGCUCAGUUGUUUGGUCAAACUCUGGUUUAGAUGUUACUGUAAAGGUAUUUCUGUAGAUAUGAUUACCAUCUGCAGUUAGCUAACUUUAAGUAAAGGAGAUCACCUUUGACAACGUCAGAUGAAUCUCAUUCAACAAGCUUUUUUGCCUUAAGAGCAAAAUCUGAGGUUUCCAGGAGAAGGAAUUCUACAUUAAGAUAACAACACAAUUUUUCCUGAGUUUCCAUGCUGCUGGCCUGUCUGACAAGUUUCAGACCUACUAGCUCCUAUAAUCACAUGAACAAAUCACUUAAAAUAAAUCUCAUAAUAUAUGUA